rnacentral:lncRNA from 1 species
CCCAGACAUUAUAAACAUGUUUGAUUUGAUACAAUUGACAUGAGCUAAUAAAUUUACACAUAGUCUAGCUUAGGCAAAAGGUGAUGCAAGCCAAGACCUAACCGGACUUAUUUGCUAUGCAUUUAAACAUCUUUGUCAGUUUGUAUAUAUAUAUGGUGGAUUAAUUUAUUGUAAUGUUUUUCGCCAAUCAGCACAUUCUCUCACAGGAAAUAUAUAUUUGUUGAAUAUUUAAAUUUGGAAUUCACUUUAACCCACGAAAUCCCUAACAAUUGGUAUAGAACUUGUAAUCAAACCACAGUAUAAAAAAGUUUUGUUAAAGAAAUACUUUUGUGGGUUGGCCUUGACUCAUAAUAAAUUAUUUUAAAUGACAAACUCUCAAAAUGCAUAAAUGUAGCCCUUUUAAAAAAUACUGUAUUAAAAACAAGACAAUUCAGAACUGGAAUAAUGAUAUUCAGCAGAUGAAGGUCUGUUGAAUCUGUAUAAUGUUUUUAAACGAUCUUUUAUAAAAUAUUUUAUAUUCAAUUUCAAGAAGCCAUGAUCGUAUCAAAAAAGGUCCAUUCCUUCAGGUAAAGAUUUCUUUAGAAAUGUUGGCUGCUCUGUUUUUUGGCCUUCACAAAUUUUAUUAACAAGUCUGUGUACCUCUGACAUUAAAUUUAUUAAAAAAUUUGUAAGGGUUCCACGGAACCCAGUGUCUCUCCUACUCUUUCUGUUAAUCGCAGGCUCAACAAAAAUGAGGAAAUAAAUCAAUGAAAUAUUCCUGUUGAUACUAUCUUUUGAUUAUAAGAAGCUUCUGUCCAAGUUUUGUAAAAAUCCAGGAUAGUUUAUGAAUCUAAUAAAUGUUUAAAAACUAUAACUGCAGACUGAAUGUAAUGUUAACUGGAAGAAAACAAAAUUUCCUUCUAGAUACUAGCUUUUGAUCAUAAACAAGCUUCUGUCUGUCCAAGUUAAGAACAAAUCCAAAAUAGUAUAAGAAAGUUAUUAAAAUUUUAAAAAGUUUAACCACAGAGUGAAUGUGUUGUUUCCUGGCAGCAAAUCUAAGUCCAUUUAAAAGUAAAAUAUGAAAAUAUAGAUUUAGUCAUUUACAAAAUUUCCUUCCUGAUACUAGCUUUUGAUCAUAAACAAGCUUCUGUCUAAGUUUGGUACAAAUCCAAAAUAGUAUAAGAAAGUUUAAUUUUUAAAAGUUAAACCACAGAGUGAAUGUGUUGUUUCCUGGCAGAAAAUCU